GCGACCCUAGGUCAGGCAGGCCACCGAUCA
rnacentral:rRNA from 1 species